AUUUAAAUAGUUUAAUUUAAAUAUUGAUUUGUGGUGUCAAAGAUAUACAUUGUAAUUUAAAUA
rnacentral:tRNA from 1 species